GAUGAACGCUGGCGGCGUGCCUAACACAUGCAAGUCGAGCGAUUCUCUUCGGAGAAGAGCGGCGGACGAGUGAGUAACGCGUGGGUAACCUGCCCUGUACACACGGAUAACAUACCGAAAGGUAUGCUGAUACGAGAUAAUAUACUUUUAUCGCAUGGUAGAAGUAUCAAAGCUUUUGCGGUAUGAGAUGGUCUCGCGUCUGAUUAGCUAGUUGGUGAGGUAACGGCCCCACAAGGCGACGAUCAGUAACCGGUCUGAGAGGAUGAACGGUCACACUGGGACUGAGACACGGCCCAGACUCCUACGGGAGGCAGCAGUGGGGAAGAUUGCACAAUGGAGGAAACUCUGAUGCAGCGACGCCGCGUGGAUGAUGAAGGCUUUCGAGUCGUAAAAUCCUGUCCUUAGGGAAGAUAAUGACGGUACCUAAGGAGGAAGCCCCGGCUAACUACGUGCCAGCAGCCGCCGUAA
rnacentral:rRNA from 1 species